rnacentral:siRNA from 1 species
GGAUGUGCGAAAUCGGAUACAUCA